rnacentral:rRNA from 1 species
UACGGAGGAUGCAAGCGUUAUCCGGAUUUAUUGGGUUUAAAGGGUGCGCAGGCUGACCGGUAAGUCAGGGGUGAAACUUUACAGCUUAACGGUAGGAUUGCCAUUGAUACUGUUGGACUUGAAUAUGGAUGAGGUAGGCGGAAUGCGUAGUGUAGCGGUGAAAUGCAUAGAUAUUACACAGAACACCGAUUGCGAAGGCAGCUUACUAAUCCAUCAUUGACGCUGAGGCACGAAAGCGUGGGGAUCAAACAGGAUUAGA